UCUUCUGUCUUUGUAGUUGCUGGUCCGUCUGUGUAUCCACCCUGCUUCAUCUGUGUGUCUCCCUGCUGUCCGUCGUCUUUUACCCCUGCUCAUCCUCCUUCAUGUUCAGGUCCUGGUUUGUGUUCAGUAGUUUAGUUGUUCCCAGUUUAGAUAGUUUCCAGUCCCGUUUGCUGUUUCUCCAUUUGCAUUUUGUGUUCAAUAAACCACCUCACCUUCACGAGUGCCUGCGACUGGAUCCUCCUUUAACAUUUCCACACGGCUCACUCUACUUGACGUGACAACUGCAAAGGCUUGAUUGACAAUAACAGAUGUAGUUUGGCAGAGAAAUAUUCACAGUGUGCAGCUGGUCAGAGGAUAAAAGAACCUGGAACCAGCAAAAGUGACACAGUGUGUGAAGACUGUCAGCCAGGCUUUUUUUCCAAGGACGGUGUGAACUGUACAGCUUGGACGAUGUAGGUCAUAAUUUAUAUUCAAAUCACUUUAAAGGUGUAUUAUAUAUUCAGUUAUUGAUCAUCAGUGUCUUAAUGGAAUCUCCAAUAUCCUGGGCUGUGUCACAUCACAUUGCCUGCAAUAAUACCAACAUAAAUUUCCAUGUGAUUUAGUGUCAUUGUACUGCCUCUGCUAUGGUUGGGCAGUCAGCUAAACUCCUUCCCCACAUCAAGACUCUGACGACACGAUUCCCGGUUCACAGGUUUAUUGACACAGGGAAAGGUGAAACUGUAACAAACAGUACAAGACAUAAUCACUGUACUUAUUCACCACGUACAUAUAUAACGAAGAAAAUAUAUUAACCCAGUUUUUUAAUAUGUCGACAUGCAAUGUUCAUAUGAAUUACUUCCCUUUUUAACUCAAAUACAAACAUCAAAUUAUGAUUUUAACAAGUCUUGCUACAAUGAAUGCCUCCAAUUCGUUUAUCGUUCCCCUUUAACUAGCUCCAUAA